GGGGCUGCACUGGUUUCGACACGGGUUCGGACGCGCAGCAGGGCAUGUCGAGGUUCUGUCACCUCGUAAAUCCGCAGAAAAAAAACUAACUGCAAACGACGAACGUUUCGCAAUCGCCGCUUAAUCCGGUGAUCCUUGCAACAGUUGGCCGAUAGGCUGGGUUAGGGGGUCGCAAGACAUCCUAGCUGCAAGGUAAAACAUAUGGGCUGGUACCUCAUCGGGCAUCUUGAUGAGGGGCGAGAAAAUAGGAUGCUGGCUUGUUGCAUAGCGUGUCGCUGUGCGAUGCAACCGGCGAGAAACAAUCCAGACGACUACACAUGUAGAACUGCUCGAAAAAGACUUGUGGACGCGGGUUCAAAUCCCGCCAGCUCCACCA
rnacentral:tmRNA from 1 species